AUUGAACGCUGGCGGCAGGCCUAACACAUGCAAGUCGAGCGGAUGAAGGGAGCUUGCUCCUGGAUUCAGCGGCGGACGGGUGAGUAAUGCCUAGGAAUCUGCCUGGUAGUUGGGGAUAACGUCCGGUAACGGGCGCUAAUACCGCAUACGUCCUGAGGGAGAAAGUGGGGGAUCUUCGGACCUCACGCUAUCAGAUGAGCCUAGGUCGGAUUAGCUAGUUGGUGGGGUAAAGGCCUACCAAGGCGACGAUCCGUAACUGGUCUGAGAGGCUGAUCAGUCACACUGGAACUGAGACACGGUCCAGACUCCUACGGGAGGCAGCAGUAGGGAAUAUUGGACAAUGGGCGAAAGCCUGAUCCAGCCAUGCCGCGUGUGUGAAGAAGGUCUUCGGAUUGUAAAGCACUUUAAGUUGGGAGGAAGGGCAGUAAGUUAAUACCUUGCUGUUUUGACGUUACCAACAGAGUAAGCACCGGCUAACUUCGUG
rnacentral:rRNA from 1 species